UAAAAAGGUAAACCCUGGUUUCCGUGUCUGACGUUUGACCGUCCGUCUUAUUUUAUAAAAAUAUAAAAAAAAUUAAAAAGACAAGUCACGCACAAAGUAUUAAUCAUGUUUUAUCAUCUAACAAUAAUAAAAAUACGAAUUAUAAAAAAAUUUUAUAUAAGACAGACAGUCAAAGUUGGACACGGAAACACAUGGUUUGUCUUUUU
rfam:Oryza sativa (indica cultivar-group) chromosome 2, whole genome shotgun sequence.